AGUCCCUGGGCCGCUGCGAGGGCUGGAGGAGCUACUCAAAGACGCCCGCUAAAUGUUAACAGCGCUCAACACUGCUGCUUCAAACGCCUCCCCGGCCUUGUCAGCUUGACACGCGCGGCGGGUCGGAGGCUCACUGGACCAGAAACUUGUCUGGCAGGACGGACUGGUUGGCCCCGCGGCAUUCCAGCCCAGUGUCAUCACCUUGAAAACAGGAGAUGCUUUUGCCUCACUGGGCGUCCAGAGGUGCGUCGGCCAACAAUUCCGAUCACAACCGCAGCGCCGUCUCCCAGAAACUCAGUACUGAAUCUCACAAAGGUCACCACCUAGGAUCCCAACACAGUGUGAGAUGCUAUGGGACGCCGUUGCCCUCCAGCUAGUCUCUGAGCAGUGGUGGACCUUGGGCUGCCAAAGCGGGAACAGGAAGGGCACAAGAUCUGCAUUAAUUCUAGUCUUAAUCCUGUUAGAAGGUGAUUAGUUUUCUUGACAUGUAUCCGCCACCCGGUCAUUACUGACAAGCUAACAAAUGAAAAAAAGAGAGAAACAAAGAGAAAAAAGAAAAAAGGCGGGCCUUCACACAGGACAAGGUUCAGGAGAGCACCCUUAUAGAAAUAGAUCAACUAUGUAAAUUCCUCAAGGUCUUUACUGACACGGUAAAAGUAAGUAAAGUGUUGAAAAUUUACUAACAAAUGAGCAAAACCAAAAGUCAAAUUAGGAUGCAUUGAAAAGCAGAACACAAAGACAUCAUUUUACCUCACCAAACAGAUCUUUGAAGCUGUGCGGUUAGUUUGGGUUGCACGUUUUCAAAAGGAUGUCGAGAAACCAUAAUUUGUUCCUUAUGGGGUGGAUAACUGAAAUGACAGAGAAGAUUUGAAAAUAAGUCCCUACUGAACAGAGAACUAUGGGGUGACUACAUUAAUAAAUUGUCCAAUUGUUUGGAGGAUCGGAAAUGAAGGAGUGCUUGAUAGUGAAGAAGAUAAUCAGAAUAAUGGCUGAAGCCAGUAGUAGGGUUUCCAUCUCUGGCUACUACCCUACCCUGCAUAAAGGAUUAGAAGUGCUCCAUUCUAACUCUCUGGAAGUCAAGAAGCCUGAGUUCUAGUGCUGCCAAUGCCACUAAUUGCAUGGCCUUGCCUCUACAGGUAUUAUCAAAGAGAAGAUGAGAACCUUGAACUGAGAGGACCUCACAAGCCUGUAGUGAAGGAAGACCCUGUUGCCAAGAUGAGGUGCAGACGGUGGAGUUAAUCAUUCUCCUCAGUUCCUACUUGGUGAAUGUUUCAUGCAUCCGUGUGAA
rnacentral:lncRNA from 10 species